rnacentral:rRNA from 1 species
CCCUUAGAUGUUCUGGGCCGCACGCGCGCUACACUGACAGAGCCAGCGAGUUCUUUUUCCUUGGCUGAAAAGUCAUGGGUAAUCUUGUGGAACUCUGUCGUGCUGGGGAUAGAGCAUUGCAAUUAUUGGUCUUCAACGAGGAAUUCCUAGUAGACGUAGUUCAUCAGACUGCAUCGAUUACGUCCCUGCCCUUUGUACACACCGCCCGUCGCUCCUACCGAUUGGAUGAUCCGGUGAGCUAUUCGGACUUUCGCAUUGUCGAUUUUCGGCUUUACGAGGGAAAGUCUCGCGAACCUUAUCAUCUAGAGGAAGGAGAAGUCGUAACA